GGACAAUCAUAAAAUUUUGGGCUAUGGACUUAUUGAAGACAACUGUAUGGAGAUAAACAGAAACACAGAGGUGCUAUACAUUCUGAUGGAAAAGACAACAAAAGCAUCUCCCAUCAUUUUGGCGUGGCUCAGAUCAAGAGGAGAAAUUUAAAAAAGGUGAUGGUUGGGCACACACAAGAAGACAUAGAUCACAGGCGUCUAGCCAUAUGAGUAGACAGGAGUUUCACACUCUGCCAGACUUACUUCCUCAGACAAGCAGAUU